AGUGAACGCUGGCGGUAGGCCUAACACAUGCAAGUCGAACGGCAGCACAGUAAGAGCUUGCUCUUACGGGUUGCGAGUGGCGGACGGGUGAGGAAUACAUCGGAAUCUACUUUUUCGUGGGGGAUAACGUAGGGAAACUUACGCUAAUACCGCAUACGACCUACGGGUGAAAGCAGGGGAUCUUCGGACCUUGCGCGAUUGAAUGAGCCGAUUUCGGAUUAGCUAGUUGGCGGGGUAAAGGCCCACCAAGGCGACGAUCCGUAGCUGGUCUGAGAGGAUGAGCAGCCACACUGGAACGGAGACACGGUCCAGACGACUACGGGAGGCAGCAGUGGGGAAUAUUGGACAAUGGGCGCAAGCCUGAUCCAGCAAUACCGCGUGGGUGAAGAAGGCCUUCGGGUUGUAAAGCCCUUUUGUUGGGAAAGAAAAGCAGCAGGUUAAUACCCCGCUGUUCUGACGGUACCCAAAGAAUAAGCACCGGCUAACUUCGUG
rnacentral:rRNA from 1 species